AUUGAACGCUGGCGGCAGGCCUAACACAUGCAAGUCGAACGAGUGGCGGACGGGUGAGUAAUGUCUGGGAAACUGCCCGAUGGAGGGGGAAAACUACUGGAAAAGGUAGAUAAUACCGAAUACCAUAGGACGUGCCCAGAGUGGAUUAGCUAGUAGGUGGGGUAAAGGCUCACCUAGGCGACGAUCCCUAGCUGGUCUGAGAGGAUGCCCAGCCACACUGGCACUGAGACACGGUCCAGACUCCUACGGGAGGCAGCGGUGGGGAAUAUUGCACAAUGGGCGCAAGCCUGAUGCAGCCAUGCCGCGUGUAUGAAGAAGGCCUUCGGGUUGUAAAGUACUUUCAGCGAGGAGGCGUUACUCGCAGAAGAAGCACCGGCUAACUCCGUGCCAGCCGCCGCGGUAAUUC
rnacentral:rRNA from 1 species